rnacentral:rRNA from 1 species
CUUUCGGACUGAUCUAGGGCGGGGUUCAUUCGCCGCCUCUGGUCGGAAAGUUAUCCAAACUCGGUCAUUUAGAGGAAGUAAAAGUCGUAACAAGGUCUCCGUUGGUGAACCAGCGGAGGGAUCAUUACUGAGUUUACGCUCUACAACCCUUUGUGAACAUACCUAUAACUGUUGCUUCGGCGGGUAGGGUCUCCGUGACCCCCCCGGCCUCCCGCCCCCGGGCGGGUCGGCGCCCGCCGGAGGAUAACCAAACUCUGAUUUAACGACGUUUCUUCUGAGUGGUACAAGCAAAUAAUCAAAACUUUUAACAACGGAUCUCUUGGUUCUGGCAUCGAUGAAGAACGCAGCGAAAUGCGAUAAGUAAUGUGAAUUGCAGAAUUCAGUGAAUCAUCGAAUCUUUGAACGCACAUUGCGCCCGCCAGCAUUCUGGCGGGCAUGCCUGUUCGAGCGUCAUUUCAACCCUCAAGCUCUGCUUGGUGUUGGGGCCCUACGGCUGACGUAGGCCCUCAAAGGUAGUGGCGGACCCUCCCGGAGCCUCCUUUGCGUAGUAACUUUACGUCUCGCACUGGGAUCCGGAGGGACUCUUGCCGUAAAACCCCCAAUUUUCCAAAGGUUGACCUCGGAUCAGGUAGGAAUACCCGCUGAACUUAAGCAUAUCAAUAAGCGGAGGAAAAGAAACCAACAGGGAUUGCCUCAGUAACGGCGAGUGAAGCGGCAACAGCUCAAAUUUGAAAUCUGGCCCCAGGCCCGAGUUGUAAUUUGCAGAGGAUGCUUUUGGUGAGGUGCCUUCCAAGUUCCCUAGAACGGGACGCCAGAGAGGGUGAGAGCCCCGUACAGUUGGACACCAAGCCUUUGUAAAGCUCCUUCGACGAGUCGAGUAGUUUGGGAAUGCUGCUCAAAAUGGGAGGUAUAUUUCUUCUAAAGCUAAAUACCGGCCAGAGACCGAUAGCGCACAAGUAGAGUGAUCGAAAGAUGAAAAGCACUUUGAAAAGAGGGUUAAACAGCACGUGAAAUUGUUAAAAGGGAAGCGCUUGUGACCAGACUUGCGUCCGGUGAAUCACCCAGCUCUCGCGGCUGGGGCACUUCGCCGGCUCAGGCCAGCAUCAGCUCGCUGUCGGGGACAAAAGCUUCAGGAACGUAGCUCUCUUCGGGGAGUGUUAUAGCCUGCUGCAUAAUACCCUUCGGCGGGCUGAGGUACGCGCUCCGCAAGGAUGCUGGCAUAAUGGUCAUCAGCGACCCGUCUUGAAACACGGACCAAGGAGUCAACCUUAUGUGCGAGUGUUCGGGUGUCAAACCCCUACGCGUAAUGAAAGUGAACGCAGGUGAGAGCUUCGGCGCAUCAUCGACCGAUCCUGAUGUUCUCGGAUGGAUUUGAGUAAGAGCAUAUAGGGUUGGACCCGAAAGAAGGUGAACUAUGCGUGUGUAGGGUGAAGCCAGAGGAAACUCUGGUGGAGGCUCGCAGCGGUUCUGACGUGCAAAUCGAUCGUCAAACAUGCGCAUGGGGGCGAAAGACUAAUCGAACCUUCUAGUAGCUGGUUUCCGCCGAAGUUUCCCUCAGGAUAGCAGUGUUGAACUCAGUUUUAUGAGGUAAAGCGAAUGAUUAGGGACUCGGGGGCGCUAUAUUGCCUUCAUCCAUUCUCAAACUUUAAAUAUGUAAGAAGCCCUUGUUGCUUAAUUGAACGUG